rnacentral:misc_RNA from 1 species
UUGGUGGCCGGCCGCCACUGGCGACCACGUUGUCUACGCAAGGUCAACAUGUUGAGCCAACCAGUGGUGUAUGCCGGCGGUGGCAGGGGUUCCUUAACUUCCGAUCUAUUCCUAUGGUGGUUCCACCGUGAAUUUGCUGUCACGGCGAUGGCGAUGCAUCCUGACGGAGCCGUGCUGGUAGCGGAAAGUGCCGAUUACUUGCCACCAGAAGGUGACUGCGUCGCCGCGGACGGUCUUGUACGGCUGUUUAUUGUACCGAAGGAUUGUAUGGAAACGCGACUGGUGGUCCGAGAAUUGAGAGUGCGUCUGGCUACCGGUAUAUUAUCGAGAGCACGCUGUGGCGUUUACUGCGACAAAUAUCCCUCAAUUUUGGGUUUGCCCGAGGAAGAGGGCGAUAACCGAUUGGACGCGUAUCUAAAAAAAUUCACACUGAAAGAAGCAUUCGCGGAUUUUCAUCGCGCAUGGCUCAGUGUUCGAUCGGAGACGUUCGCUCGCAGCUGGACGCUGCCACGCGAUCGCGAGGAUCAUCCGCUGGCGGGAUGUAAUGGCGCCAUAUUGCCGCCUAGAAUCCAUCCGGUGGAACAAGAGGAGGAUAGAAUGCUACUUGUCGAACUGCAGAGUCUCGCCAGGGAGAUCGGACUGGAGGUCACCGAUGACGAACUCGGCAGUUGGAUCCUUGACGAAGAGAGCGCGCUGACGCGUCUUGUUAGAAAAAAAGAACCAGACGAGGAACAACACUGCCGAGUUAAAAUCGAGGUAGAGACGGAUAGAUGGUCGGAGCGCAAUGGGGACGAGGAAGAAGAUGGGAAUGACGGCAUUGAAGAAGAUGACGGCGAGGAUGAACCUACCGCCGAGGAGGCUGUUGGACUUCUCUCAAGAGUGUUGCUCUGGAUGGAAAGAGAACCUCUCGAUCCGGGACUUCUACUGACGGUCAGAUCGAUGCGCGAUACCGUCGCACUUAUGGCGAGUAAGAUGGGUCUGGCGGGGACGCAUCCAAGCGGGUUACCCUUUUUCUGUCCGAAUGGAGACCACCUGACCCAACCACCUCCCGCCCAUAUGGGUAUACCGCCCUACGGCGCAUUGGACGCGGGUAAGGCGGCCGCCGCGGCUGGUCUUACGAGAGCACCAAUGUACCCCUUCUCAACGGGUCAAUACCCAUAUCCCAUGCUUAGUCCAGAAAUGACGCAAGUCGCGUCCUGGCACACACCGAGCAUGUAUCCCAUCUCGCCGGCAAAUGCGGGUUUCCGAAGUCCAUAUCCCACGAUACCCAUCACAAGUUCUAGUUUACCAAGUGAUCUCUACCGGUUUUCACCGACGGGCCUUAUGCCUCCGCAUCCUGGUCUGAGUCCACACGCACAUGCGUUAGCGUCACAUGCGUUGGUAUCCUCAGCACCGAAGGCGGAUCACUCCACCUUGGAUCACAAUCACAGGUCAAUGAUAGAACAGAAAAAUUCCACAUCGUUACCUACGGACAAUGCGAAAGCUCAGGACACGGGACAACAAAACAAUCAAGAUAAAAAGAAACCCCAUAUAAAAAAGCCUUUGAAUGCGUUUAUGCUGUAUAUGAAGGAAAUGAGGGCGAAGGUUGUGGCAGAGUGUACCUUAAAAGAGAGUGCCGCGAUCAACCAAAUAUUGGGAAGACGAGUAAUAACAUGAAGAAAUGCCGUGCCAGGUACGGAUUAGAUCAACAAAGCCAAUGGUGCAAACCCUGCAGACGUAAGAAGAAAUGUAUCAGAUACAUGGGGGAGGGAGGAGACGGCGACGGUGAAGCUGACGGUGAA